rnacentral:rRNA from 1 species
AUUGAACGCUGGCGGAAUGCUUUACACAUGCAAGUCGAACGGCAGCACGGACUUCGGUCUGGUGGCGAGUGGCGAACGGGUGAGUAAUACAUCGGAACGUGCCCAAUCGUGGGGGAUAACGUAGCGAAAGCUACGCUAAUACCGCAUACGAUCUAAGGAUGAAAGCGGGGGAUCGCAAGACCUCGCGCGAUUGGAGCGGCCGAGGGCAGAUUAGGUAGUUGGUAGGGUAAAGGCCUACCAAGCCGACGAUCUGUAGCUGGUCUGAGAGGAUGAUCAGCCACACUGGGACUGAGACACGGCCCAGACUCCUACGGGAGGCAGCAGUGGGGAAUUUUGGACAAUGCACGCAAGUCUGAUCCAGCCAUUCCGCGUGCAGGAUGAAGGCCCUCGGGUUGUAAACUGCUUUUGUACAGAACGAAAAGGCUCUGGUUAAUACCUAGGGCUCAUGACGGUACUGUAAGAAUAAGCACCGGCUAACUACGUGCCAGCCGCCGCAGUAA